AACAAAUUAUUGAUUGUUAGAACAAAAAAAAAAAAAAAAAAAAUAUAUAUAUAUAUAAGUUUAUUUUCUUUCUUAUUUAUAUAUGUUAGCACGCAAACUAUAUGCAAAACAUAUUAAACUUUUAUUUAUAGAGUGUUACCAAAUUAACGUUCGGGAGAGGAAAUAGAUAAAGUCAAACUAAACAUAGAAGCUUUCUACCAUUUUGUAAACAAUCACGUAAAUUUACGUGUGCAAAUUUCACGUAAAUUAUUAAUUAAAUUGGCAAAUGAUCGGGCGCGAUAUGAUAGAAUAAGCGUUGUAGAUUAGAACCUGAGCCACGCCACUCGCAAAGUUAUUCCAACUUUCGCUGAUUGCGAAUUGGCGAACGCGAGUGAGAGUUCAGUGAAUAUUAGAGCACAAUCAGUGAAUAUUAGAACGCAGUCCAGUAAACGAUUGUACACCUUUUCAUUUCGAGUGUGGGCGAAAUAUGGAUCUUGACAAUAUUAAAAAACAUUUUAUAUACCUGGAAAAAACUCAGAAUCUUUAACGAACUCCAAAAAAUCGGAUAAUUACAAAUCGCCAAAGCUGGUGGCCUGUUGGAAGGAUUGUUGCAAAUCAUCAUCUUGAUGAGCAGUAGCGCUAAUUCUCUGUCAUUUGCAGACAUGGUCUGAAGUGUUAUCAAAUUGCUUUCGCCACCUGCAGCAGGAAUAGAAUAAGUUACUUGAUUAGAUGAUGUUGGCUUGCCUUCGUAGAGGAUCACCAAAAGGAUGUUUACCAUCGGAGAGAACAUAAUAAAAAACACAACCGAGCGAGAAGAUGUCAACCGCACAUGUCGCACUUUCUUCAUUAUCUCCAAGUAUUUCCGGUGCUAUCCAGCCGUCCGUUCCAGUAACGCCAGAUCUUCGCGAAAAUGAUACGCGACCCAGUUGAAGUUUUUUGCAUAAACCGAAAUCCGAUAUCAUCGCACGUACUUCACCUCGUGGUCCAGGAACGGAAAGAAGCACAUUGUACAGUUAUGUGUGAAGGAAACAAAAAUAUAACUCUCUGAAAAGACUAUGAAAAUGAUAUCAGUGCACAUGUGAGAAAGCACAUGUAAAAAGGUGUCUUUUACUUUACAACAUAUCCAAAGCUUUAAAAAAUUAGUUAAUAAUACUUACAAUUUCUUUCUUCAUCAGACUUACCGAUAUCCAAAGAAUGCAAGUGCGCCAACCCGAAUGUUGCCUGAUAUAAGAUAUUCUUUACAGAUAUCUUCUCCCUAUUGUAUUUGCCUGCUACGUAAUCUUGUAACGUAGCUUCAGCAAGCUCCAAAGCGAUGUAUCUGAACAUACGAUCCUGUUCAGUACAAAAGUACCUAACUACAUUUGCGUGUGCAUCUGAUUCCCUCAGCAAGGCCACCUCUCGGUCAGCAAACAUAAAACAAUCCGGCAGCAGACGUUUCACAGCCACAGCACGACCAUCAAAUUCACCUCUAAAGAAAGAAGCAGAGUGAAAUAAAGACUUUUCUGUAUAAAAAAUAAUACAUCUGUAUGUUCUUCUGUUACAUCUGUAAAUAUUGUAUUAUUAUACAAAUUAAAAAUAUAAAUUACUUGUACACAAA